GUAUCACUGUGUAUGAUGUAUUGUGCUUUGUGAUGUCACUGCAGGUAUAAUCAAGGACAGAAAAUCAGUAUUGAUGGGGCAAGCCAUGGGACUGGAAGGCAGCAGGCAGAUGUCAGGGUUGGGGAUUACUGGCUCAGAAGCAGGAAAUCUCAUGUAGAAGCCCAGAACUUUCAAGAGAUAAGAAGUAGAGAGAUUCUGGUUUAAAGAGAGAUGACAGAAGCCCUGAAUGUCCUCUCUUCUGCUCCCCCAGAUACCUUCAUGGACUACAGGGCUGUACAUACGACUGUUGAAGUUUAUAACUAAAAAUAAACCAAUAGGAAAGCUAGCCAUGCCAUAGUGGCUACAUGCAUGGGAUGUGAAGCCACACUUCCUGAGUUUGAAUCCCAGCUCUGCCUCAUCUUAAAAGUGUGAUCAUAGAGAGGGUCAUGGGAUACAUGAACUUCAGGCUUAAUCUCUGUGUGAGAAAAACAGCAUGAAGAUAAUCAACUCUAUGUCAGAAGAAAUUGGCAACACUACUAACCACGAGUAAUGCACACCGAAGGGUUGUGAAGAGGACGUUACUAUUUGUACACUGUUUUGAGCAGUGCCUGCUGUACAGUAAGGACCAUAUAUGUGUUUAUAAAAUAAAUCUUAGUUGCUAUAGGCAACACCACGCAGCUGAGAGUGGCCGCACAUUGACUCUCUUAAAGAACACUUCCUCUCUUGCUCAUCCUACUCAGCUCAUAAAAGUUCCAGGGAAAAUCAUACAUUGGACAAGACAAGGAUCAGCUGUUCUUCAUUUUUACUUAGGAAGGCUAAGAGGAAUUUACACUGAAAAACCUCCUGCAAGGAUGGCUGAAAUCAAAAUGACAUUUCUCUUUAAAAAGGAGAUAGUUUGUUGGUAGACCCGAAAUGAGAAUGUCCUGGCCUGGUGCCUACUAGCCUUGAAGUCUGUAAUUUCAAAUGACUUUGCUUGAGUUAUUCGAACC
rnacentral:lncRNA from 1 species